rnacentral:ncRNA from 1 species
GUAGAUAGAGGUCGCGUAUUUCAUGAGUAGGCAGUCUGAUAUGGCAGAGAUAGAGGAGGACUGGGGAAAGGGAAAAACGCCGAAGGUAGAGGGAUUCUGCUUCCUGAAGCCUGGGCACAUCGAUGAAGAAUCGUGUGACUGUCAUCAAAAUUGUGAUGGAGAGCUAUCU